rnacentral:misc_RNA from 1 species
AUUCAAGAACAUCUUUAGAAGCUGAGGCUUAUGCUGCAUACAUGAAAGGGAGUUUAUUGUUUGAAAAAGAUCAAAAUUGGGACGUUGCUCUAAAGUGUUUCAAAAGUGCCAGGGCUGUGUAUGAGGAACUUGGAAAAUAUGGGGAUCUAGAGAACCAAGUAUUGUGCCGUGAGCGAGUUGAGGAACUAGAACCUAGUAUCAGAUAUUGCUUACACAAGAUUGGUGAGUCUAACUUACAAACUUCUGAACUCGUUUCCAUCGGUGAAAUUGAAGGGCCUGCACUGGACCUUUUCAAAGCAAAGUUGGAGGCUGCUAUGGCAGAGGCAAGAUCUCAGCAGGCUGCAUCUAUGACAGAAUUUCAUUGGCUUGGAAAUAGAUUUCCAAUUUCAAAUGCAAAGACACGUGUGUCCAUCCUGAAAGCCCAGGAACUGGAGAAAGAUAUCCAUGGUUCAGCUGCUGAUUCUCUUCCAGCAGAGAAGAAACUUGUGUUAUAUGACAAAAUAUUUGCCGCAUAUCACGAAGCCAGGAGCUGCAUCCGGAAUGACCUGGUUACGGCUGCUAAUUCAGAAAAUGUGAAGGAUGAGUUAAGUGGACUGGAUAAAGCCGUUGGUGCAAUUUUAGGUCAGCGAACCAUUGAGAGGAACCAGUUGCUAGUUAAAAUAGCUAAAAGCAAGCUCAACAAGGUCCGUGAUGAUAAAAAUGAAAAGGUCACGAAGCCAGAGGAGCUUGUUCGUCUGUAUGAUCUACUGUUACAGAAUACUGCUGAUCUUUCUGAUCUAGUUAGUUCUGGAAGAGAUAGAAAGAUUGAAGAAGUUGCGUUAGCUGAAGAGUGUGAGCUGAAAAGUAUGGUUUUCCGAGCAGAAAGGUGCUUCUACUUAGCAAAAUCCUACAGUUCGGCGGGAAAGAGGACAGAAGCUUAUGCCUUGUACUCUCGAGCUCGUUCUUUAGCUGAUGCAGCUCUUAUGAAACUGCAGUCCGCGAAUGCUGCUGAUCUGGUCAUGAUCAAGGAACUGAAAACACUGUAUAAUGAGAGCAGAUCUAACAGCUGUGCUGAGCAUGCCAGAGGAAUUAUGGAGGAGGAAAAGGCUCCAGAAAAUCUCUCGAAAAAGAUAUCUAAUAUCUCAUUGAAUGGAACUGAUAAGAAGAUGGAGAAACUUCUCAUGGAAAAAUUGGACACAUAUGAAUCAGCUGUUGGUGAAGCCAACGUGAAGGUUGUUCCUCGAAUUGAAACAUUUCCACCUGCCUUUCAACCAGUUGCUCGUAAUCCCAUCGUAUUGGACCUGGCCUAUAACCUUAUUGAGUUCCCAUCACUGGACUCUCGUAUGAAGAAAGAUAAGAAAGGUUUCAUUAGUAGGUUUUGGGGCUGAGCUGCUUUUUUCAUUGGUCAUUGAUUUUUCAGUUGCACCAUAGAGUUGAGUUGAGGCAAUUUUAUCAAAUUUUUAAGCUGCAAAAUUCUUCAACAUGACUUCAGAAAAUUUUUCUAUACCUGAGAAGU